AGGUCUUGAAGUGCUCAUCGAGCCUGAUACUCGACAUUUUUCAGGAAAAAUUGAGAUCUGAUCGCUUCGUUGAGGAGAUCCCAAGAAUCUAUUCGGAUCCUGUUGGCAUGAAAGUCAGCAUAUUGGGUUUGCCACUAUAAUUUUGCAUCUCCACCCAGAUACAUAGUAGCUGUGGUUAUCUUUCUAGCUUCGUCUUCAAUCGAAGCUGCGAAAAAGUAC
rnacentral:lncRNA from 1 species